GUUAAAAAAAAAGUGAAUUUUUAUAUCAGCUUCCGCUCGCUCAUCUACUACCACAUGACAACUUUGACCCGAAUACCCGUAUAUUGUCGGAUCUUUGAUUCCAUACCCAUUAAUUGUACCGUAAAAUAGUUCUGAGUUCUGACAAAAUGAGGCCCCAAUUUAGGGUUUAGUCUUUCGAUUGAGACAUAUGAUUUGGUUUUGGGGAUAUGAUCGGUGAAGUUUUUUGGGUUGAUGAUGGAACUUUUCAUGUUUAUGCAAAAAGUUUUCUAAUUUCUCAAGAAUUCACCGUUUUUUUUUUUUUUCUCGUGGAAUUUUAUCUCAGUAAUCAGUACCUUUAGUGAAGUCAGAGCAAAAACUUGUUUAUGCAAAAAGUUUUCUAAUUUCUCAAGAAUUCAGCUUUUUUUUUUUUUUCUCGUUAAAGUUUUUGCUCAGUAGCUUUAGCUUGAUACGUAGAACUGUUGCAGAGAUUAUCAUGUGGGAGCUGAGCCAGAAUCAUAGAAUACUUUUCCACACGGGAUUUGCGGACAGCUUGUUGGAUCUGCUUCUCAUGCUCUUUAAGCAAAUCUUCAAGAUUCCCACCAGGAGGCAUCAAUG